AAUCAACGCUGGCGGCGUGCCUAACACAUGCAAGUCGCACGAGAAAGUGGAGCAAUCCAUGAGUAAAGUGGCGUACGGGUGAGUAACACGUGACUAACCUACCCUCGAGUGGGGAAUAACCUCGGGAAACCGGGGCUAAUACCGCAUAACAUCGCGAGAUCAAAGCAGCAAUGCGCUUGAGGAGGGGGUCGCGUCUGAUUAGCUAGUUGGUAGGGUAACGGCCUACCAAGGCGAUGAUCAGUAGCCGGCCUGAGAGGGCGCACGGCCACA
rnacentral:rRNA from 1 species